rnacentral:piRNA from 1 species
CNGAAGUAGUGUGUGACUCUGGUGUCCCC